GGUUUUAUAUUCAAAAAUGAUUUUAGAUUGCAAUUCUAAAGGUGUAAAUAAAUAUUUACUAAGGCCU
rnacentral:tRNA from 1 species